CGGACGGGUGAGUAAUGUCUGGGAAACUGCCUGAUGGAGGGGGAUAACUACUGGAAACGGUAGCUAAUACCGCAUAACGUCGCAAGACCAAAGAGGGGACCUUCGGGCCUCUUGCCAUCGGAUGUGCCCAGAUGGGAUUAGCUAGCAGGUGGGGUAACGGCUCACCUAGGCGACGAUCCCUAGCUGGUCUGAGAGGAUGACCAGCCACACUGGAACUGAGACACGGUCCAG
rnacentral:rRNA from 1 species